rnacentral:rRNA from 1 species
GUGGGGAAUAUUGGACAAUGGGCGCAAGCCUGAUCCAGCCAUGCCGCGUGAGUGAUGAAGGCCUUAGGGUUGUAAAGCUCUUUCAGUGGGGACGAUAAUGACGGUACCCACAGAAGAAGCCCCGGCUAACUUCGUGCCAGCAGUCGCGGUAAUACGAAGGGGGCUAGCGUUGUUCGGAUUUACUGGGCGUAAAGCGCACGUAGGCGGAUCGUUAAGUCGGGGGUGAAAUCCUGGAGCUCAACUCCAGAACUGCCUUCGAUACUGGCGAUCUUGAGUCCGGAAGAGGUGAGUGGAACUCCUAGUGUAGAGGUGGAAUUCGUAGAUAUUAGGAAGAACACCAGUGGCGAAGGCGGCUCACUGGUCCGGUACUGACGCUGAGGUGCGAAAGCGUGGGGAGCAAACAGGAUUAGAUACCCGUGUAGUCC